AUGCUUUACUGUUUAGAACAGAAGGGGAGCAGGCUAGCGCCACAGGGAUGUUUAGGCAGGACGCGAUGGGUGCGUGACUCCUUGCUCAGCUGCCCUCCUGGUGCAGCUUUCCUGAGAGGAAGACCUGCAUCCUGGCAGAGACACCAGCUGGCCAGACGUGGGCCAAGCCAAGCUGGGCACAAGAGCCAGUGUGGAGGGAAGGAGGGAGCCACCAAACAGAAGAGCAGAGCUCUUGCGUCUUGGAAGCUGCAGACCCAGCUGGCUCUGCCCAGGCAGAAAUGCUCUCAGGCAAGGAAAGGAGGCUGUCCCUGCUGCCAUGGAGGUUUUGAGCAAGUGGCUUCUGAGUUGCACACAUACAACCGAGGGUGCUCUUUACCCAGAUGCUCACUCCAAGACGGACAAGGAAAACUGUGUCUGGAGGCAGCACAAGGCAAUGACCUAUAAGAAGAGGAAUGGCUAUAAACCAUCAUUUACAGAGAAAAAGCUACUGGUAUAAACACACCAAUAUCUGAAAGCAAGAGUUAGCCACAUGGCCACUGUCCACUACGUCCAGUGUUAGAGCACAUGUGCACAUACAGUUUCCAUCAGUAUUAACACCGGAGAGGUGCUUUAACAGAGAAUGGAAUACAGUAUAAAGUACUUUACUGAUGUUAUUGCUUUUUCUCUUUAUAUCUUAUGCAGGUAGUCUGUGCCUUUGCAGCCUGAAAGAGCAUGUUGCUGUUGGACAAAAUAUCAUGACUUAUACCUCCUGAUAUGCUAUUAUCAGUACAACAUUUUGGAUAUAUGUACAACCUCAAUGCUUUCUUCAUGUAGCAUCGUACACACAUAGGCACACUGGUGUUUGACCACUACCUUGCACUGGUUCAGGUCCCACUGCUUUUGGAAGUACUAUAACAUAUAGUACUCCAUAUUUUUAAUAAUGGCAUCUUAUCCAUUAGCCAUUAGCCAAUGAAAAUGACUGCUAAAAUAUGAAGAUACAUAGAGAACUGAUAUACCAGUAAAAAAUUAAUUAGUGAUAUAAUAUUAAAAAAAAAAAAUUUCUCAAUGACAUAGAAAAAUGACAGAUGUUUGUAGAAGUACAUCUGGACUUCUCAAAAAGUAAAUACCACAGGCAUCAAGCAGCACUCAGAAUGAGUUGUAAACAGCUUGUUACAUCUUUCUCACAUCAUGUAAAAUGAUCUCCCCUAUAUAACUUAAGAAAUUUUCUUUAGAAGACUUGCCUUCAGAGAAAACACCAGCACCAGCAAGGUUCACAAGCUUUUAUAAAACUCCAGGGAAAAUUGAAUCUAAUAAAAUGCAGAGAAAUUUGAUGGAUUUAAAACUG
rnacentral:lncRNA from 1 species